rnacentral:rRNA from 1 species
ACGUAGGACGCAAGCAUUAUCCGGAGUUACUGGGCGUAAAGGGCGUGUAGGCGGCUCUUCAAGAUCGUCGUGAAAUUCUCCGGCUCAACCGGGGGAGGUCGAGGGAGACUGAGGAGCUGGAGGACGGUAGAGGGACAGGGAAUUCCGGGUGUAGUGGUGAAAUGCGUAGAGAUCCGGAGGAACACCAGUGGCGAAGGCGACACGCUGGGCCGUACCUGACGCUAAAGCGCGACAGCAUGGGGAGCAAACGGGA